rnacentral:rRNA from 1 species
CCCUUAGAUGUCCUGGGCUGCACGCGCGCUACACUGAUGUGUCCAGUAAGCACCUAACCUCUUCCGAAGGGAACGGGUAACCUUAGCAAAGCACAUCGUGAUGGGGAUAGAUUAUUGCAAUUAUUAGUCUUGAACGAGGAAUUCCUAGUAAGCACAAGUCAUCAGCUUGUGUUGAUUACGUCCCUGCCCUUUGUACACACCGCCCGUCGCUCCUACCGAUUGAAUGUUCCGGUGAGCUCUUCGGACUGCGCGGUCUGCAGUUUCUGCGUUCCGUGCGGAAAGUUGCGCAAACCUUAACAUUUAGAGGAAGGAGAAGUCGUAACA